rnacentral:rRNA from 1 species
CGUGUAGGCGGCAAUUUAAGUCAGACGUGAAAACUCAAGGCUUAACCACGGGACUGCGUUUGAAACUGGAUGGCUAGAGGGUCGGAGAGGGCAGUGGAAUUCCCAGUGUAGCGGCGAAAUGCGUAGAUAUUGGGAGGAACACCAGUGGCGAAGGCGACUGCCUGGACGACACCUGACGCUGAGGCGCGAAAGCCAGGGGAGCGAACG